rnacentral:rRNA from 1 species
CAGCCGCCGCGGUAAUACGUAGGGUGCAAGCGUUAAUCGGAAUUACUGGGCGUAAAGCGUGCGUAGGCGGUUUGUUAAGUCUGUUGUGAAAUCCCCGGGCUCAACCUGGGAAUGGCAAUGGAUACUGGCAAGCUAGAGUGUGUCAAAGGAUGGUGGAAUUCCCGGUGUAGCGGUGAAAUGCGUAGAGAUCGGGAGGAACAUCAGUGGCGAAGGCGGCCAUCUGGGACAACACUGACGCUGAGGCACGAAAGCGUGGGGAGCAAACAGGAUUAGAUACCCGUGUAGUCCCUGUCUCUUAUAC